CAGUGCAGAUGCACCAGGAAUUAAAGCCUCCCCAGCUGCAGCCUGCUGUGCACAGGUUCUCACCCUGGCAACAUUCUCUGUCUCCUCAGUCCUCUGCAAGGAGGAGACAGCACCUGCAGCUCCAGUCCACCCAGGACAAAAGCUGUGUGGCUGGUCCUACUCCUAGGAGCAGAAGCAGCACCACUCAGAGAGGGGUCUUAAAUGCCAGGAACAACCCCAGGUCACUCCAAAGCUGAACUUCAAGAACUAGUGCCUUUAGGCAAGGAGAAGCACCUAUGAGACCUACUCCAUCCUGGUCCAGCUUUGCUCCAAAGCUCCACAGGGCUUUUAACAUGAAAUAAGGGUUGGAAAGAGCCCUCUGAUGGACCUGCUUUCCAGGACAGCAGAGUACAAAGGGAGCUGCUUGGAGAGACAUGCUUGGCUACUCCACCUGCAGAUCCAGAGACCCAGGAAGAAGGAACCCAGCCCUGCAGCUGGGCAGAGCCUGGCCUUCCCCCCACCUCACUGCCUGAGGUCAGUGAGCAUGCUGGAGGAAAGGCGACCUUCCCACCCCUAUCCGGGCAGGAGAACAGCAACCACAAGCAGCAAUUUAUAGCACCAGGAUCCCAGCUAGAGCCUCCCUUCAGCCCACACAGCACUAAAUCAAGGCUUUUUAGUGAUGCCUUGGUGGGAUUUUCUUCCUGGGCAUCACCCUCAACAGUGACAACCACUCCAAAUGUCUGCAAGAAGCUCCUACAGAAAUAGCAGUGGGAAAGCUGUGCAGAAAGCCUCAGUUUGAAGUGCACAGUGCUCCAGUCCCUUCAAGAAACCUGAGCCGGAUCCAGAUCCCAAGGCCUCAAAGGCCUCUAGGGAGCAUAUUUUGAUAUUUGUGACACACAGAAAAGCCACAUAAGGUUGAUUCUUUAGCCUCUCUAUUAAAAGAAAUUUUGCUAUGCACACUCAGAGGGAAAAAGUGCUGACACAAUGAGGGUUUUCUGCCCCUCAACUGGUGCAGCUUCUUCCUGAUCUCUAUGCUAAUACUUGCAUUAUUGCUGAGGCAAUUAUGAGCAGAUGAAACCCCAUAAAGUCAUGCAAGAAAAGCAACAAGUGCUUCUGUUCUAUGCUCCUUGAAGCAAGCAUCCAAUCUUUCCACACCACAAACUCUCCUAGACAAAGGCAAACGUAAGCAACAGCCCCAGGAACACACAGCCACUUCAAAAACAUGCCAGCCUAAAUCCCGCUGUCCUAUCCAAGCAGAAGAUCUCAUUACCUCUUUUCUAAUCAGUGUGAACCACAAGUACCCUCUGCCCACACUCCAAAGGUUAGAGGCUGGCACAACGGUAUAGCUGACUGAACACCAGUGUGUCACCAAGUGAGCUGACAGAAACUGCCAAAGUUUCCUGCUCUGCCCAAGCUGAUGCUGGAUCCAGCUCUAGUUCAGCUGAUGCUGCUCAGUAA